GCCAGCAUACUGUAGUGGUUUAAGUGUUGGACUGUGACUCUGGAGACCAGGGUUCGAAUCCCAGCAUGGCCA